rnacentral:rRNA from 1 species
AGAGUUUGAUCAUGGCUCAGGACGAACGCUGGCGGCGUGCUUAACACAUGCAAGUCGAACGGAAAGGCCCUUCGGGGUACUCGAGUGGCGAACGGGUGAGUAACACGUGGGUGAUCUGCCCUGCACUUUGGGAUAAGCCUGGGAAACUGGGUCUAAUACCGAAUAGGACCACGCGCUUCAUGGUGUGUGGUGGAAAGCUUUUGCGGUGUGGGAUGGGCCCGCGGCCUAUCAGCUUGUUGGUGGGGUAAUGGCCUACCAAGGCGACGACGGGUAGCCGGCCUGAGAGGGUGUCCGGCCACACUGGGACUGAGAUACGGCCCAGACUCCUACGGGAGGCAGCAGUGGGGAAUAUUGCACAAUGGGCGCAAGCCUGAUGCAGCGACGCCGCGUGGGGGAUGACGGCCUUCGGGUUGUAAACCUCUUUCAGUAUCGGCGAAGCUCCAGGAUUUUUCUUGGGGUGACGGUAGGUACAGAAGAAGCACCGGCCAACUACGUGCCAGCAGCCGCGGUAAUACGUAGGGUGCGAGCGUUGUCCGGAAUUACUGGGCGUAAAGAGCUCGUAGGUGGUUUGUCACGUUGUCUGUGAAAACUCACAGCUUAACUGUGGGCGUGCGGGCGAUACGGGCAGACUGGAGUACUGUAGGGGAGACUGGAAUUCCUGGUGUAGCGGUGGAAUGCGCAGAUAUCAGGAGGAACACCGGUGGCGAAGGCGGGUCUCCGGGCAGUAACUGACGCUGAGGAGCGAAAGCGUGGGGAGCGAACAGGAUUAGAUACCCUGGUAGUCCAA